GAGAACUGAUAAUCCGAUAGGUGGAAUGAUAGGGGAACGCCUUGAAACGCCUGCCUAAAACUGCGAAUGGCAUGAUUGUGAUUAAGCACAAGAUUGUCAUAAAGCUCGCUGAAGUCGCCUGUAUGCACUUGCUAAGGUCAAAAAGGAUACAGCAAAACCAAGCCAGAGGUGGCUGGGAGUGAUAGGGCGGGGUCUAUAAA
rfam:Clostridium hathewayi WAL-18680 genomic scaffold supercont1.1, whole genome shotgun sequence.